UACGAAGGGGGCUAGCGUUGUUCGGAAUCACUGGGCGUAAAGGGCGCGUAGGCGGCCGAUCAAGUCGGGGGUGAAAGCCUGUGGCUCAACCACAGAAUUGCCUUCGAUACUGUUUGGCUUGAGACCGGAAGAGGUAAGUGGAACUGCGAGUGUAGAGGUGAAAUUCGUAGAUAUUCGCAAGAACACCAGUGGCGAAGGCGGCUUACUGGUCCGGUUCUGACGCUGAGACGCGAAAGCUAGGGGAGCAAACGGG
rnacentral:rRNA from 1 species